CAGUGAUUUUAACUCUUUUUGUAUUUGUCUAGUAGGUUUUCUGCCUUAGUGGAAAGCCAUU
rnacentral:snRNA from 1 species